UACGUAGGGUGCGAGCGUUGUCCGGAAUUAUUGGGCGUAAAGGGCUCGUAGGCGGUCUGUCGCGUCGGGAGUGAAAACUCAGGGCUUAACCCUGAGCCUGCUUCCGAUACGGGCAGACUAGAGGUAUGCAGGGGAGAACGGAAUUCCUGGUGUAGCGGUGGAAUGCGCAGAUAUCAGGAGGAACACCGGUGGCGAAGGCGGUUCUCUGGGCAUUACCUGACGCUGGGGAGCGAAAGUGUGGGGAGCGAACGAGG
rnacentral:rRNA from 1 species